rnacentral:lncRNA from 1 species
GCUAGUUUGGGGGACAGCAUUGCAGAAGUUGACCAUGAGCCAGCACACCCUUCCAGGAGAGCCCAGGCUGCAGCAGCAGGCUCUGGAGCCAGCAAAUAGGACAGCUCUGACCCUCUACUCAUACCUCCAACAUCUGUCAGAUCAGACAUGGAAUGCCACAUCCAGUUUCACUUUCAUCAGUGUAAGAAAAGCAGUGACACACUGGAGCAAGUCAAGUUGAGGGCAAGGAGGAUGGAUGGUAGAGAAAUUAACAUUUUUAUCAAUGAUAUAGACAGGGAGAUUAAAGGCACCAUCAGCAAGUUUGCGGACAACACCAAGCUGUGUGGUGUUGUCGAUACACCAGAGGGAUGGGAUGUCAUCCAAAAGGACAGGCUGGAGAGGUGGGCCCAGGUGAACCUCAUGAGGUUCAACAAGAGCAAAUGCAAGGUUCUGCACCUGGGCCAGAACAAUCCUCACCACCAAUACAAACUAGGGGGUGAGGUAUUGGAAAGCAGCCCUGAGGAAAGGGACUUAGGGGUUCUGGUGGACGAGAAGCUGGACAUGAGCAGGCAGUGUGCAGCUGCAGCCCAGAAGGCCAAUCGCAUCCUGGGCUGCAUCAAAAGAUGCGUUGCCAGCAGGUCCAGAGAGGUGAUUCUGCCACUUUACUCUGCUCUGGUGAGACCUCACCUGGAGUAUUGUGUGCAGGUCUGGAGCCCUCAAUACAAGAAGGACAUGGACCUGAUGGAGAGGGUCCAGAGGAGGGCCACAAGGAUGAUCAGGGGGUUGGAGCACCUCUCCUGUGAAGACAGGCUGAGGGAGCUGGGGUUGUUCAGCCUGGAGAAGAGGAGGCUCCGGGGAGACCUUAUAGCGGCCUUCCAGUACCUGAAGGGAGCCUACAGGAAGGCUGGGGAGAACCUGUUUAGAAAGGCCUGCAGUGACAGGAUGAGGGGCAAUGGCUUCAAGCUGGAGGGGAACAGAUUUAGACUGGAGAUUAGGAGAGGGUUCUUUACUGUGAGGGUAGUGGAGCACUGGAACAGGUUGCCCAGGGAGGUGGUUGAGGCCCCAUCCCUGGAGAUAUUCAAGGAGAGGCUCGACGAGGCCCUGGGCAACCUGGUCUAGUUGGGGGUGUCCCUGCUGACUGCGGGGGGGUCGGACUAGAUGACCUUUGGAGGUCCCUUCCGGCCUGGGCAAUUCUAUAAAAAAAAAAAAUCCAAGUUCAUUCUCCCACAGCAGAAAGCUGAAUAG